ACUCAGAGGAAGGACCAUCUGCUUCUGGCAUCCAGUCAUGACGACGUCGAUGACUGGAUGUCAGGAGCAGAUGAUGUUGAUGACUAACGUGUGGGAAGCGUAGACAGCGUCAGGACGCGGGACAAAGGGAGGAUUCACAUCCCCGGUGGGGACAGAGCUGAACAAUGUGAAAUUUCACCAGGCUACUCAGAACGGCGUGCAAUUUAAAACUUAAGAAUUGUUGAUUUCUGGAAUUUUCCAUUUAAUAUUUUUGGACUGCAGUUGGCUGUGGGUAACUAAUACAUCAGAAAGUGAAACCAAGACGAGGAGAAAGCUCUCCAAAUCUACUGAAACUCUCUUCCCCUCUCAUCUGUGACCUGAGGUGCUCUCUGGAUGUUUCAGCAAAGUGAUAGAGUAUUCCCUGACUGCCAUGGCAGCUGUUCUUUUGCUGUCAGGCCUGUGUCAAAAUAACGGAAUCACUUAAAAUAAAAAAAUUGCUGCUCAAAAUAA